rnacentral:lncRNA from 1 species
CAUCAUAACAUGACCAUUGUAUGCUGGAAUGUUAGAAACCAAUGCAGAAACACUAAAACAUCGUUUUUGAGCUUUUCAGGUCAUAAGAACACUAGUUUAAAGCACGGCAUAUGCAACUGUACAUUUAGGAUGCAUUGAGCUGUUUAAAGUAUCCUGCCAUCAUAACAUGACCAUUAUGAGCUGGAAUGUUAGAAACCAAUGCAGAAACACUAAAACAUCGUUUUUGAGCUUUUCAGGCUGUAGAAUUACUAGUUUAAACCACGGCAAUGCAUUGGUGCUUUUAUGAUGUUUUGGGCAGUUUUAAAGUAGCCUGGCCUCAGAACAUCAUAUUUGAAAGCUGAUUUGAUGGAAACCAAUGAGGAAACACUAAAACAUCGUUUUUUAGCUUUUCAGGCUAUAAGAAAACUAGUUUAAACCACGGCAUUUGCAACUGUGCUUUUAUGUUGUACUGAGCUGUUUAAAGUAUCCUGCCAUCAUAACAUGACCAUUAUGAGCUGGAAUGUUAGAAACCAAUGCAGAAACACUAAAACAUCGUUUUUGAGCUUUUCAGGCCGUAGAAACACUAGUUCAAACCACGACAAUGCAACGUUGCUUUUAUGAUGUAUUGAGCAGUUUUAAAGUAGCCUGGCCUCAGAACAUGAUCUUUGAAAGCUGAUCUGAUGGAAACCAAUGCAGAAACACUAAAACAUCGUUUCUGAGCUGUAGAAACACUAGUUCAAACCAAGCCAAUUGCAACUGUACAUUUAGGAUGCAUUAAGA